GUCCUUGUCGAUUAGUGGUUAGAUCAUCACGUUGUGGAAAUGCGCGAGCCGUGAAGACGGAGGCUCGAAUCCUCCCUGGGACA